rnacentral:miRNA from 1 species
UCACUGGGUUAAUGACCGCCA